rnacentral:misc_RNA from 1 species
AGCAUCAACCAAAUCAUGAAACAGCUCAUAAAACUGUGAAAGUGUACAUCGACCAUAUCGAAUAUAUUGAGUGGAUCCUGAUAUUUUCAUCUUGAUGAAUGAAUGUCCCACAAGACUUGCUCAUCAAACUUGGUCAGUACACCAUCAUCGAGUCGUUUCCACGUCCUGAUCUUCUCCAUACCCAUCCAGACUUCCUUUCCCUUCCCAAGUUCUGCCUGUAUUACCCUUGCUCUUCUAGGCCAACCAGCUACACCAUAACCAUGAUAUCCAAAGCCUCCGCCAUAGCAAAACCACAUACCUUCUAGAUUACCACAAUAAUCAUUAUUAUGAUCAUGACCUAUAAAAAAAGCCUUAACAUCCCUCAUAGAGAUAAAGGUCUUCAAGACUCCAGAGUUCACUAAUGAACAUG